rnacentral:misc_RNA from 1 species
AUGAAUUUCGGAUUGUGCUGGCUUUGCAAGUGCACAUCCAUUCAUCCAAACCCCUUGUGAACCUUUGACCUGACGCUUUCGAGCAGAUGGUAUUACACAAACUCUUUAUUAUGUAUGUGACUAGUUAUUGGCAUUAGCCGAAUACUAUAA